rnacentral:snRNA from 1 species
GUGCAAACCUUGGCAGUACAUACACUAAAAUUGGAAUUAUAAUAUAGAGAAGAUUAUCAUGGUACCUACGCAAGGAUGACAUGCAGACUCAUGAAGCAGUCCCCAUUGUU